CAGAGACUAAAACUCGUACCUUUUGCAUCAUGAUUUAGCAAGCACCUCUAAGCAAAGAGCCCUCUAGUUUAAGACCCCGAAACCAAGUGAGCUACUCCAAGACAACCUAAUAACUGGGUUAACCCGUCCCUGUGGCAAAAGGGUGGGAAGAGCUUCGAGUAGAGGCGAAAAACCUACCGAGCUUGGUGAUAGCUGGUUGCCUGAGAAAUGAAUAGAAGUUCAGCCUCUUAACUUCUUUUUAAGUUAAGAGAGUUACCCAAAGGGGGGACAGCCCCUUUGACCCAAGAGACAACUUUCACGGGAGGAUAAAAAUACAACACCCAAGAUACAACACCACAGUGGGCCUAAAAGCAGCCAUCUGCCCAGACAGCGUUACAGCUCAAGUGUUAGAUCCCAACAUCUAUACUUUAACCCCCAACUCUACCAGGCCCUUCCAUGCAAACAUGGAAGUGACAAUGCUAAUAUGAGUAAUAAGAAAGAGCUUUCUCCUAGCACCAGUGUAAAUCGGCACGGAACAACCACCGAACAUUAACGGCCCCAAACCCAGAGGGCAUUAAACCCCAACUAGAAACCCAACUACCGUUGAACCAACACCGGAGUGCCCCAUAGGAAAGACCUAAAAAAAGAAAAGGAACUCGGCAACCAAGCCCCGCCUGUUUACCAAAAACAUCGCCUCUUGAGCCCAUAAGAGGUCCCGCCUGCCCCGUGACAAUAGUUUAACGGCCGCGGUAUUCUAACCGUGCAAAGGUAGCGCAAUCACUUGUCUUUUAAUUGAAGACCUGUAUGAAUGGCACAACGAGGGCUUAACUGUCUCCUCUUUUUAGUCAAUGAAAUUGAUCUCCCCGUGCAGAAGCGGGGCUACAAGCAUAAGACGAGAAGACCCCGUGGAGCUUAAGACAUAAAGCAACUUGUAACCCUCAGCCCAACAAAGGCCUUGAACUAAACAACCCCUGCCCAACAGUCUUCGGUUGGGGCGACCGAGGGGUAUGACACAACCCCCACGCGGAAUAAAACAGUUUUACAACCACGAGCCACAGCUCUAAGCAACAGAAUUUCUGACCAAACAGAUCCGGCACAGCCGAUCAACGGACCAAGUUACCCCGGGGAUAACAGCGCAAUCCCCUUUCAGAGCCCCUAUCGACAAGGGGGUUUACGACCUCGAUGUUGGAUCAGGACAUCCUAAUGGUGCAG
rnacentral:rRNA from 1 species